GAUCUGCCUCCUCUUUCUUGAGGCAUUUACGGUUGACACAGACUGUGGCUAUCCCCACCAGCUCUGACACCCCUUCCCUAACUGGGAGACAGCCCCCAUGGCCUGCUUAGCUGAGAUCCUCUGCUAGCUAGGUAUGGUUGUUAGAGGAAGGGACUACCUGGUUUCCAGCUGGGACAUUCUCCUUAAAGUCACUUGAAUGAUAGCUAAGCAGUCCCCUUGUUCUUAGCCCAUGUCAUUUCCUCUGUGGCUUAAGGGGACACGCACAGGAGCUUACCUGCCUCUAAGGACUGUGCACUGGGCCCCCCAGUGCCCUAGCUCUCUAAGUGUCCUCUUAGUUUAUGACAUUUUUCCCACAAACCCUGCAUUUCCUUGUACCUUGUUUCCUCUGUUUAAGAAAACUGAUAUUCCACUGUCAUCUAACAUUUAGAACUUCUAAAAUCCACACCUGAUUUGUGUGUGCGUGUGUGUGAAGAAAUGUUUGUUGUGGGUUUUUUUUUCCAUUUAAUUUUUCUUUCUUUUUUUGAGACACAAUCUCACUCUGUGACCCAAGCUAAUCUGGAACUUGCCAGGUAUUCAAAACUGGACUGGAACUCACAAUAAUCCUCCUGCCUCCUGAGUGUUGAAAUUACUCUCCAGCUCAGUGACGCUUACAUAUGGGCGCGUCUGGAUAGACCUUCUCUUCCGAUGGUUCAUCUGUGUGGUGACCUGUAUUAGAACUGCGUUGUGAUAUUCUGUUUUGUGGGAAAUUCCAGGGAUUUUUGUGUGUGUGUGUGUCUUAAUGUUGUUAGUGCUCAAAACUCCAAAGAACCUGUUGUCUUGUGUAGACAGUGUGAGGGAAGUCUGAGCUUGUUCAUCCCAGGUGGAGUAACUGAGCCUCGGCUGCACCAGAUGAGUAACAGGUGUGCGGUGUUGUCAUGAGGUCUCGUCUUUGACAGCGGAAUUGAGCCAUAAAAGUUCUGAAUAAUUUAUGCAGGUCUGCAGGAGUCCGGGUAUAGAUUGUUAAUCCCAGACUUUAAAAUGUGCCGAUUUUACUCAGGGAUGCUUAGAAUGAAUUUUUAUUGUGGCCUUUAUCUUUGGCCUAAGGUGAAAAUGUUCAAAUUGCCCCAGAAGUCAAAAUUAAUUUAGUUUACCAUUAUCCAUGGGUUUAACAUCUUCUGUUUGGCUUUUAAGUGGAAUCGGAGCUCAUCAUAAUCAUAUGUUUCGAUUUAUGCCUUAAAAUAUUACAAGAUGGCCAAUACCGGGGAUAAAAACCUUUUAGACCAUCUUUAAUUUCAGUGUACCUGCGAAGUCUGCGUAGUCUUCUUAUAAACUGAAUCUUGCUUCAGAAAGGCGAAGCGAAGCGACGUGUGGUUUGCGUGUCUGUGGCUCUUCUUCGCCAGGUUUGCGUUAGGAAGUCGUGGAAGCUAAAUCAGAAAGCUUUCUAAAGAAAGCCUCGAAGCAAAGAAGGACACAGAGGGGAAAGAUCGGAACACCCCGAGCCCCCCCCCAAAGUACAUUCCAGUGAAAAGUGUGGGUCCUUGGUAGUUGAGAGUAGAGAAGAGAAAGACAAAUGGUCUUAAAGAAUCCUACCUAAGGAGGACCCCAGUUAAGUAGUUUCCAUAUUUCCCUUGGAGAAUCAUUCAACAAAGAAGAAAAAAUCUUAAAAGAAAAGCAAAGCAAACCCUGAUAAUCCAUCAUUCAUUCAUUCCCAGUCCAUACUCUAUGUUAGCUGAUGGCUUUUCAACUAAGAGAGAGGGGAGAGAGAGAGAGAGAGAGAGAGAGAGAGAGAGAGACAGGCUAGUGAGGUUGCUCAGUGCUUAGAGCACUGGCUUCUCUUUUAGAGGACUCAGGUUCGAUUCUCAGCAUCCAUACGGCGGUUCAUGAUUGGCUAUGUAAUUCAAGUACCAGGGAUCCUGCCCUCUUUUUUUGACCUCAGUGGGCACCAUGCACUCCGUGUGAUGAAUGCAGGCAAAAUGCACAUAUGCACAAAGUGAUAACAGCAACAACAACAAUUAAAUAAAAUGAAGCCUGCCACCAAGACCCUCCAGUGAGGAUCGUAGCCGCCAUACCUACAGAAGGCUACUUGAGGCAGCACCGGCAUAGCCUCAGCUUGCUUUCUCCUCAUUGUCCCGGCAGUGCCUGUGGUGAGAGCAGAUGCUGUCUCACGGUGCCGAUGGAAGAGUGUGCAGUCCAGGUGGUGCACUCACUCAUGGGUUCUUCGAACUCCUCCAUUCAGUUUAGUCCCAUCAUCACUUUAUUAUUCCUAGCAACAGCAUCCAGGGUACUUUGUAUGUGUGACUAUUGUGCUUCCUUCCCCUGGGAACUCUUAUUAAGCACCAGAAAUGGAAUGGCGUGUAGUAGAUUUUAACUUGCCUGACUGUAUUAAAAACAUUCUGCACUUCCUGAAAGGCGUCCUCAGGGGUCAGGGGUGUGUCAUUUUGAAGACUUCCUGGGACAGCAUGAAGAUGCUUAUGCCUCUCUUUGGCCUCUUUAAAGAAAGAGAAAUUGUGUGUGUGUGUGUGUGUGUGUGUACGUAAGUGUGUACAUGUGUGUGUGUGUAUACACAUAAGUAUCCACAUUUAUUUACUUUGUGUGUGAUAUACGUGUGUAUAUGCAUAUUUGUGUGCAUACAGAUAUACAUGGAAGUGGGUAUAUAUGCACAUAUUUGUACAUGUGUACAGGUCAGAGGUCAAACAGGUAUGCUUCAGUUGCUGAUCACAUUGCUGUGUUGAAAUAAGGUCUCUCGCUGCUUGCCAAGUCACGGUUUGGCUGGCUAGCCAGUGAGCCUUGGGAAGCCUUUUAUUUUAUUAUCCUAGCAAUGGGAUGCCCUCAUUUUGCCUUUCAAGCAUGGGCUCUGGGGACCUGACUUGGGUCCUCACGCUUGCAAGGUGCACUUUACUGGUAGAGCUAUUUUCCAUCCCUGGCUUUUUAAUCUCUUGAGUGGUAGCUUCCUCUGAAGAGGCUCUUUAACCAUAUUGUCAGAUCUU
rnacentral:lncRNA from 1 species